UGUGACAGCCAUAAACAACAGUUGGGACUCUCAAUUUGUUCAGUUAGAAAUUGUCUUACUUUUCUGUCAUCCUAACUAUUCAGUUUUUCUUGUUGGUAGUAUGCGAUCUAGAGAACACUGCAUGGGCACUUUUAAGUAAAAAUGAAUAACUUUUUUCUCUUGUUAAUGGAGGCGACAUGGGGUAACUUGCACAAACCAUAAAGCCUCAAACAUCACAGUGUUUUGUUUGUUUGCUUGCUUUGUAUUUUAUGCACAAAAAUAACACCCUGGCUCACAAUUUCAAUUAGCAAAAGCAGACAGAAGUAGAAGAACAGAAACCCCACAGCAAGGUUAUCACAUUUAGGAAUGUUCCUGGAUCCUGGGACUAUGGGCUGGGUCUUUGAUGUAUUAUGUCAUUGUUCCUAUGUUGGAAGGUGUUAGGGCCUAAGAGCUAGCAUUUAAGGUCAAAAUAGUGCCUCCAACAUGGUGUCAUUUCCGCUAAGGUUGAGAACCUGUUAUACUCUGGAUAAUUUUCCAAUUUUAGUAAAUUGUUUUGAGAUAUAAGAACUAACUACUUACAUAACGAAAGCAUCUAUGGUGCUGUUUCCUGUUAGAAAUUUGGUUGCUACUCUUUUUAGAUGGUGCAUGUUUGCUCAAUGUGGCAGAGGGACUCUGUGUCCUACACCAAUUUCCUCCUCAACAUCCAUGCCUAACUCUUCCCUUCUUCAAACUGGAUUUCCUGGAGACAUCUGCUUCAUCAAUGAUUCUAGCCUGAUGACCACAUUCUCUCUUGGAAUGACGUGCUAUCAAAAACCAAACCGUAAAAGGAGAAAAAUCCAUUGCAACAAUUCCACCGAAGUACUUCAAGCUCAUUACUAAGAUAAUGAAAGAACUCACUCAGGAGUUAAUGGAUUGAAAUCAAUAUCAUAUGGAAAUCUGCACUCUCAGUGUCAACUGAAGAGGAAAGAGAAGACAACAGAGACAAAGGCACUGGGAAGUCAUUGGAUGCAUUUCCUGUGGAGAAAGGUGAGGAAACAGGAGAACGAAAUGAGACACAGGGUACUGUAGAGAGUCCCUGGGAAAGUGACAUAAAAAGAAUCUAAAGUAAGAAGUAGAGAGCAGAGCUUUCAAUCCCAGCAGAAAUGUUCUCUCACUCUAGCAGAAGGGACAACAAGUGUGUGGGCAGGUGGUGCUUAUGCUACAGUACUUGUGGGUAUUUUUAGAUGUCAGCUCUCAUCUGCUCAUUCUGUUUGCUUGAAGAAGUAUGCCGAGAAGUCAUUAGCUGAGGAUGAAGGCAAAUGUGCUAGAACUAUGAAAGAGGCAUGCUGGAGUCAAUAAAGGAACUUACUAGCCAACAGUAUUGCACAGUGUAGUGUCCAAACUGAUGCCAGUGUUCAACAUUUGUCUGACUUAAUUAUCUAUUCUGAAAAGAAUCUACUCAUGAUGGUGUGUUUUUUCUUAAAUACACUUUUUCUUACGCAUCUGGAAAGAAAAAUGAGUAGUUUGCUUUCACUUGGAAGAGGGUUUUGUCAGGAACUGAGAAGGAUGCUAUAUAAAUAUGUAAACUAUUAUUUAAAGUGUGUUUUAAUGAUGCAGAAAUGAUCAUCCACUUCAUGAUAUGACACACAAAAGAACAAUGGAGUUUAGAGUACUUGUUCUUGAUUAUGUUGGAGGACCACUAAAAAAAAAGAGUUAUUAUCAGUGAACUAAACAAAAGAAACUUGGCCUUUUGGGGUAGGUUAUUUGAAUUAAUUGGCUACCUGAGUUGGGAAUAGAUUAACACAAAAUUUAACAUUGAUCUGAGGUGAAGCAUGUCAUAAGCAGGUCAUGGAGCGAGCUGAUCACCUUGCAGCCCCUGUGAAGAAGAAGAGGUACACAGAAAUUGACUACUGGUACCCAGCUCAACUUCUCCUUCUUAUGAAAUCUGAGGCGCAAUAUGUGGAGUGAUGAGGUAUUGUCUAUCAGUUAUAGCAGUUGUAGUAUUGAAAGAGAUGAUGUGCUCAGUUAAUAAAGAAAUGUUCUCAGAAGAAUGACAGGUAACAAUAUAACCAGGAAAGAAAGCAUGACACCUUAGAAGUCAAGGGAGAAGUGAGUUUUAAAGAAUGAGGAGGUGGUUUUGAAUCAGUUUUAGAAAAUGACAAGGGAAUAGUUCUCAAAAAAGACUUGACCCAUGAGUCAUAGAUGUAGACAUUUAAGGAAUUUGUUAGGUUGGACUGCAAUUUCGAUGGAUCUUAGCAGGGAACAGAGGUCAAAGCACUGUGCUUGUGUAAGUUAGGUGAUACAACACAAGACAUUGGAGGAAAACACACUGAAGGAAGGGCAACUGUAACAUAUAGGUCCAACAGAGAGUGAGGAUAUAGGCAACACAAAGGUCCAGAUAUGAAAAGGAUUUUUAGAUGGAGAGAAGAAGGCUUAAUCAGAAUGAAGGGCACAUGACAAGCUCUCAGAAACCCAGGAGAGUGAAACACAACUAAAAGCCACAACCAGGACAUCAGGGUACAAGUGGUUUGAAAUAACUGGGCUUUUACUUUGGGCUGAAAGUUUAAAUUAGAAUGGGGUAGGGAG